GGAUUAGAUACCCUGGUAGUCCACGCCGUAAACGAUGGAUACUAGCUGUUGGGCCUUAAGGGCUUAGUGGCGUAGCUAACGCGAUAAGUAUCCCGCCUGGGGAGUACGGCCGCAAGGUUAAAACUCAAAGGAAUUGACGGGGACCCGCACAAGCGGUGGAGCAUGUUGUUUAAUUCGAUGCAACGCGAAGAACCUUACCUAGACUUGAAUCCCUAUCGUAGCUUAUGUAAUGUAAGUGUCAGUUCGGCUGGAUAGGUGACAGAUGCUGCACGGCUGUCGUCAGCUCGUGCCG
rnacentral:rRNA from 1 species